AUACGGAGGGUGCAAGCGUUACUCGGAAUCACUGGGCGUAAAGCGCGCGCAGGCGGCUAUUUAAGUUGGAUGGGAAAGCCUACGGCUCAACCGUAGAACUGCAUCCAAAACUAUUUAGCUAGAGUGUGGGAGAGGAAGAUGGAAUUAGUUGUGUAGGGGUAAAAUCCGUAGAGAUAACUAGGAAUACCAAAAGCGAAGGCAAUCUUCUGGAACACUACUGACGCUGAGGCGCGAAAGCGUGGGGAGCAAACAGGAUUAGAAACCCUAGUAGUCC
rnacentral:rRNA from 1 species